rnacentral:rRNA from 1 species
UACGGUGGGUGCAAGCGUUAAUCGGAAUUACUGGGCGUAAAGCGUGCGCAGGCGGUUUGUUAAGUCCGUUGUGAAAGCCCCGAGCUCAACUUGGGAAUUGCAGUGGAUACUGGCAGGCUGGAGUACGGUAGAGGAAGGUGGAAUUCCCGGUGUAGCAGUGAAAUGCGUAGAGAUCGGGAGGAACACCAGUGGCGAAGGCGGCCUUCUGGACCAGUACUGACGCUCAUGCACGAAAGCGUGGGGAGCAAACAGG